GUCUGUUUCUUUGGAAGAUUCUGUGCCCCUCCCAUGCCUCUCCUGCAUGUGGCCCAUGCACAGUAGUGUGUGGCUGCCCUCGCCCUUGUGUGUGGGUUUUUUGUUGUGUUGUUGUUGUUUUGUUUUGUUUUGUUUUGUUUUUGAGAUGGAGUCUUGCUCUGUCACCCAGGCUGGAGUGCAGCGGCACAAUCUCGGCUCACCGCAACCUCCUCCUCCCAGGUUCAAGUGAUUCUCCUGCCUCUGCCUCCUGAGUAGCUGGGAUUACAGGCGUGCACCACCAUGCCCGGCUAAUUUUUGUAUCCUUAGUAGAGAUGAGGUUUCAGCAUGUUGGCCAGGCUCGUCUCGAACCCCUGAACUCAGCUGACCCACCCACCUCGGCCUACCACAGUGCUGGGAUUACAGGCCUGAGGCCCUGCUCCCAGCCUCCUUGUGUUUCUCUACGUGCACAUUGUGCAGAGCCUCCCCACCCGGCUGGACGUGACCGAUGGCACACGUCCCCAGUCUCACGCUCCUGUGCACGCCUCUUGGUGCCUAUGUGUGAGAGCUUCGCAUUUCAACUCGAGUAGAAUUUGCCAAAUCCCUUGCCAGAUUGGGGGCAGAGCUCCUCAACAGCACUUGAUGUGGUCACCGGGGUGAUCUGCUGAUCUGACAGGAGACCAACACACCCAUGCUCCUGAAAGAUGAGACUCGCAGAGCCCGGCCCGAGACUGCACCCAGCCGUCCAAGGCUGACCAUGCUUCCCACCCGGCCCUCCCCACGCCGGCUCGGACUUCGGGCAUUUUCUCUCCUCCUUUCCUCCCUGGUGAUCUGAGGCCGGCUCUGUCGGGGGAGUGUUCUUCCUCUUUGCAGUGAGUCCAAUAAACUCAGCUUUGCCUGAACAACAGGUUUUUCUGGUGGUGAUUUUGGGGAGUCUACAGCCAACAGCUGAAAUUGGGAAAACGGGGCGGGGGUGGGGAAUCCCUUUUUGUUUUUUGUUUUUAUUUUUUACAGUAAAGUGAAAGCAAGUUUAUUAGGAAGAUAGAGGAAUAAAAGAAUGGCUGCUCCAUAGACAGGGCAGCUGGGAAUCCCUUUUAGCACCUGGUGGCUGCAGAUGGGUAGAAAUACAGACCAUAUUUGGUUCUUAGUUUAAUUAGCCAGAGACGC
rnacentral:lncRNA from 10 species